CCAAGAGGAAUUGGAAACACGAUGUUAAGUAUCUUAGUAUGAUGAGGAUUGAGGUAUACUACAAACACUUUUGUGAAUGGUAUGGGACGUUCACAGAUGUGUGAUGCUUUGGAGAAUGGUAUGGGACAUUUUCCAAAUGUGUGAUCAAACCGAAAUCCUACUCAUCUAAGUACUUAAUGAUCGGUGGUGUGGAAACACAUUAUUUGAUACUGGAGCUACACAUAGUGCUGUGAGUCCAGGAAUGGUUGGAAAAGGUUUGUUCCAGUAUGGAACAUGGGAUGGUCCUGAACGAGUGAGUGCGGCCGGAGGGCAAGUUAUGAACUCACUCGGUCUGGUUAAGGACAUCCCUGUGGUGAUCUUGGAUAGGCCGAUGCCUAUAGAUCUGAUUGUUGUCCCCCUCAAGCAUCAUGAAGUGAUCUUGGGCAUGGACUGGUUGGGAAAGUAUCGGGCAACUCUACAUUGUCACCGUGCGUGAGCGGUUUCGAAGUGGCGGUGAGCAGCGACUCGUCAGGUCCACAAGCUUUGCCACUCUCAAGAGUGCUUGAGGCACUUCAGGAGCUAGGGCUUGAAGUCAUCAGCUCUCUCACUACAAGAGUUAAUGAGAGGCUCAUACACACUAUUAGAGUCGAGGUUAAUAGUUUUGGAUGCUUGGACUUUGCUUGGUUGCAGCAGAAGCUAGUUGAGGAGUUGAUACCUUCGACGGGGUACUAAUAAUUAAGAAAGAUAACACUCUUAGUCCGAAAGACUUAUUUUUCGUAUGAUCUCUUUUCCAAGUGCUCUUUUUGCUCGUAGAUUUGGUAUUAAAGCUUGUUAAUGGAUACAAAAAGGCGUUUUCGUUGAUA